rnacentral:rRNA from 1 species
AGUGAACGCUGGCGGUAGGUCUAACACAUGCAAGUCGAACGGCAGCACAGUAAGAGCUUGCUCUUACGGGUGGCGAGUGGCGGACGGGUGAGGAAUACAUCGGAAUCUACUUUUUCGUGGGGGAUAACGUAGGGAAACUUACGCUAAUACCGCAUACGACCUACGGGUGAAAGCAGGGGAUCUUCGGACCUUGCGCGAUUGAAUGAGCCGAUGUCGGAUUAGCUAGUUGGCGGGGUAAAGGCCCACCAAGGCGACGAUCCGUAGCUGGUCUGAGAGGAUGAUCAGCCACACUGGGACUGAGACACGGUCCAGACUCCUACGGGAGGCAGCAGUGGGGAAUAUUGGACAAUGGGCGCAAGCCUGAUCCAGCCAUACCGCGUGGGUGAAGAAGGCCUUCGGGUUGUAAAGCCCUUUUGUUGGGAAAGAAAAGCAGCAGGUUAAUACCCCGCUGUUCUGACGGUACCCAAAGAAUAAGCACCGGCUAACUUCGUG